UACGUAUGGGGCAAGCGUUAUCCGGAUUCAUUGGGCGUAAAGCGCGCGUAGGCGGCUUGUUAAGCGAGGAGUGAAAUCUGGGGGCUCAACCCGCAGCUUGCUUCUCGAACUGGCAGGCUUGAGUGCUGUAGAGGCAAGUGGAAUUCCCGGUGUAGCGGUGAAAUGCGUAGAUAUUAGGAGGAACACCGGUGGCGAAGGCAGCUCACUAGGUUACAACUGACGCUGAUGCACGAAAGCGUGGGGAUCAAAC
rnacentral:rRNA from 1 species